CCUACGGGGGGCUGCAGUAAGGAAUAUUGGACAAUGGGCGGAAGCCUGAUCCAGCCAUGCCGCGUGAAGGAAGAAGGCGCUCAGCGUUGUAAACUUCUUUUGAAUGGGAACAAUAAUCCCGACGUGUCGGGACUUGAGGGUACCAUUAGAAUAAGCACCGGCUAACUCCGUGCCAGCAGCCGCGGUAAUACGGAGGGUGCAAGCGUUAUCCGGAAUCACUGGGUUUAAAGGGUGCGUAGGCGGUUUGAUAAGUCAGUUGUGAAAUUCACCGGCUUAACCGGUAGAACUGCGAUUGAUACUGUCAGACUUGAAUCAGGUUGAGGUAGGCGGAAUGUGGCAUGUAGCGGUGAAAUGCAUAGAUAUGCCAUAGAACACCGAUUGCGAAGGCAGCUUGCUGGACCUAGAUUGACGCUGAGGCACGAAAGCGUGGGGAGCAAACAGGAUUAGAUACCCCAGUAGUC
rnacentral:rRNA from 1 species